AUUAGGGUAUGCCAUUUUUCCCAAUUAUUAUGAAAACCUCUCGCACAUCAUAGUAAAAUCAAUAGAUCCAUUGCUACUCCGAAUACAAAGGAAACAAUAAGAAAUACAAGAUUAUACUAUAAAAUAUUAUUAUUACUAAGUAUACAUACAUUAAUACCUGACAUAAACAUAAUGAAAAACCAAGUCACAUACCAAACAAUAAGUAGGUAUAACAUUU